rnacentral:rRNA from 1 species
AUUGAACGCUGGCGGCAUGCUUUACACAUGCAAGUCGAACGGUAACAGGCCGCCAGGUGCUGACGAGUGGCGGACGGGUGAGUAAUGCAUCGGAACGUGCCCAGUCGUGGGGGAUAACUACUCGAAAGAGUAGCUAAUACCGCAUACGAUCUAUGGAUGAAAGCGGGGGACCGUAAGGCCUCGCGCGAUUGGAGCGGCCGAUGUCAGAUUAGGUAGUUGGUGGGGUAAAGGCUCACCAAGCCAACGAUCUGUAGCUGGUCUGAGAGGACGACCAGCCACACUGGGACUGAGACACGGCCCAGACUCCUACGGGAGGCAGCAGUGGGGAAUUUUGGACAAUGGGCGCAAGCCUGAUCCAGCAAUGCCGCGUGCAGGAAGAAGGCCUUCGGGUUGUAAACUGCUUUUGUACGGAACGAAACGGCUCUGGUUAAUACCCGGGGCUAAUGACGGUACCGUAAGAAUAAGCACCGGCUAACUACGUG